AGAAGGUCUGGAGCCAGUUUCCUCCAAGAGCUGCCUCUCUGCAGUGCAGAAUCAGUUCAGUCAGAGCUUACCAGGCUGCAGUAGAUAAAAGCCGUAAGGGAGCGAUGCAUAAAUCACAUGCUAAACAGUACGAAUUUAUGGAAAAUUGUUGUUGUUGUUGUUGUUGCCAGGCACUAUGAAAUAUUCAACCAGAAAGAUCAAAAUAUUUCCUGCCUGUGGAGAAGGGUUUAUAGCAGGAACACCCAGUGUCUGAAUCAGGGCUCUUUAGAGGAAUAGAGCAGAUAGAAUUAAUAUUAUGACGUGAUUGAUACAGUCUGGGUAUUCUAGGAAGAUGUCUCCACCAGGCUGGAUCAGCUCAGCCAGCCCACUCCGGUCCUGCAGGCUGCCAGGAGUCCUGCAGAGCCCCUAAUCCUCCGUCCGCGCUGGAACCGGAAGCUGGCUCUGCAUAUCAACAGAGGAAUGCAGCACCAGCAUCAAAACAAAGUGAAUGGACUUGCCACGGAGGGCGGCUGCAAGCAGAGAGCGAGAGGCUUCCUUCUCCCAUCUCCUUCAGCUGGGCUGCCACCUGAAGGCAAUUUUAAGGGACCGUUCCAUCACUGUCUGCUGGCAGCAUUACCAGACUGAAUGAUUACACUGGCCAGCACCUCCAUCUCAGGAGGACGGGUGGCUUGAUGUCUUGAAGGACUGGCCUGCCAGGUAGUUCAGGCUAUCUUCGUAGAAGCCAAGUCUCUCGGCCGAGCUUUUGGUAUGGCUCUGGAUCCUGGGAACUACAGUGUUGGACACCCAGAGCACAGAGUUCUGAAGCAGACCCACACCAUCCCUGCCGGAGCCUACAGGCGAGCUUGCUGGUGAAGCAAACCACACGAGGUUUAUAACAGAGGCUGAAGAAAUGGGCAAAGGUUCCGUUCCCAGCACCCAUCUGGUGGCUCAAAACCAUCUGUAAUCCCAGUUCUGGUGGGUCCUCUUCUACCUCCUCACCCCCAGUCCUGGGAAGUGGAGGCGUGAGUCUCCAGGAGUCUCCAGGGCUCACUGGCUGGUCAUUCCUGCCAAAACCAUCAGCUCUAGGUUAAGUGAUGAGGCGUUGCCUCAAAAAACUAAGUGUUUCAACAAGUGAGACGGCUCAGCAGGGAAAGCACUUGCCACCAAGCCUGAGGACAUCAGCUCAAGCUGGGCACCCAGGAAAUGAAGGGAGAGAGCUCCUGACAGCCGUCCUCUGACCUCCACAUGUUCACAUUAAAAAAAUAAGGCAGGCUGGCUGAAGCACGGUGCUCUGCUCUUCCAGAGGACCCAGGUUCGGUUCCCAGCACCCGCAGGGCAGCUCACAACGGUCCGUAACUCUGGUGCAGGACCUGAUGCCACCAUAAGAGGAAAGGCCUGCUGGGUACAUGCUGUGUCUCCGGGCUCCUGUAUGGCUCCACACACUCCUGUUUUUCUUGUUCUUCACAGUACAUCCUUCCUGGUCACCGUGCUGGGUCCUCCUUCUCUGUCAGUGUGCUGGGACUCCUCAGGACCCAGCGAGGGGCUGUUCUUCCUCCAGUGUUCUCCAUUAGCCUCUCAUCCAACACCUCUAGUUUUCUAGGGGUGUCAAGGGCCUUGUACACAAAUCCAAAAUUCUUAUCCACUUGGCAGAUUUCCUGCAUAAAUCAUCUCUAUUUUCAGUUGACUCAUUUUUCCAGCUGCUUAGGGGGCAGACUUUCCCUUUGAUUGUCUUAUGAACACCCAAACUAGGGACUUUAAACCACACUUCCUCCUUGCCAAGCCUCUUCCGGUACCCACAGUCUCAGUAAAGCCACCACCAUCCACGCCAGCACUGGAGGUGCCCUGGAUCCACCAGUCUUUCAGUGACAUCACUUAGUCACUGGCUUGCUUCUCCUCGCUGUGGGCAACCAAGGUCAGUUGCUGUCCCUGUUCUUGCUGCCAGCCCCAGACUCUACAAGACCCCUUCGAGGCCUUCGUACGUUUAAACCUUUUCUCCCAGGAGGAGAAAAUGUCAGUCUGGCCAUGUUCAUACUUUUUAAAAGCCCUUCAAAGAGUGCUGGAGCAUAUUACCGGGGGAGGUUCGCCUAGCAGGAAUGAAGCCCUCCAGGUGAUUUCCAACACCACAUUAAACACCACCAAGCAACGCCUUCAAAGGCACCACCAUUGUCCUUAAGAUAAAUUCCAAAUCCUCCACGGAUCUGAGUCCGCUGUUCUCCCAGCUGCAGCCAUUCUGAUGCUUUGCUCCAUGAGGUCAGACUGUGUGCUCUUUUGUGUUCCCUGCGUUUGCUCCUUCCUCUGUAGAAUACUCACAUCUUAAUCCAAUGACUCGCCCUUCAAGGCCACGCCCUCUGCGAAAGCUUCAGCAGGCCUGGGUCCGCUGCAUCUCAAGAUUACACUGUUCGGGAACCUGCAGCCAGGCUUGCUGUCUGGAAAGGAGGAUCUGCCUUCGUUAGGAACAGGACAAGCCCUUGCGCUCACACCGCUCAGAGCCAACAGGGGAGACAGAAAGUGUCAUUCGAUCAACACUCAAAAAGGAACUUUAUGGUGGGCGAAUGUGUGGGGAAAGGCUCGGGUCUAGUCUGGGAUGCAGCGGAAGAAGAAAACAGACUCUCUCACCUGUCCUCCUGCAUGUGCACACACAUAAACAAGAGCUUCACAGACAUUUUAACUUGGCGCGUGAAAACUACCAUGACAUGGAAGCACUCGGUGCUUGAAGGCCUUGAGUAGCCCAGGAAAGCGAUCCUCGAGAUGACUAGCCUAGAGCUGGAGACUGAGGGAAUUAGCACUGGGAGUCCAGCAGAGGCAGGGAGAUCUCUGCGGGCUGGAGGCCAGCCUGGGCCACAUGGUGGAUCUAGGACAGCCAGAGCUACAAAGUGAGAACUUGUCUUGCAAAACCAAAAAAACCACAGCCAGCUGUGGUUUGGCACUCCUUUGUUCCCAGCACUCCAGAGGGAGAGGCAGGCAGAUCUCUGUAAGUUCGAGACUAGCCUGAGUUCCAAACUGAGCCCCAGGCCAGCCAGAGUGGGGCUCUCUCAAAAGACAGGCAAAUGUUCCUGGCCUCCUUCCUCAUCACUCCCUCCCUGGUGUGACCAUUUGGGAGAGAUGUGGGGUUGGAAAGCUUGUCCUUCCUGCCCUCUUAGAAUGGCCUGUCUUCAGGGAGGGCACCAUGGGCUCCAAAGAGACCAGCCUGUGUUUGAAAAGAGCACCUGAGCUGGGGGCUUUGUACCUGCUGUGGGAGCACUCUACAGACAGAGCUGCAUCCCGGGCCAGAUGGGUGAAUCUUCCAAAGCUGAGUUCAAAGUUUGGACAUCCCAGCCAUGUUCUUGGACCUAAGUUUCACCGGUAGCAAAGCUGACAUGUGGAUCCCUGCUUUCCUGUGGUUCAUCUGCUUCUCGGUUUAUGUGGUUCUCAGGUGGAGCUGAGGGGAAAGAAAAUAGUGAUAACUCCUGUGCCUCUCUGUUCUACUCCUGGUAGACUAAUGGACGUUUUAGCUUCUUUCUUGUCUUCUUUUCAUUUCGUUUUUAGGUAGGCCAGCGGGAACUCACUCCUUUGGCCUUUUGGAGCUGCCAGCACACACGUCACACCCACAGGCAUGGUUGCACUUGGGCUUUGGGAAAGGACGGGAGGCAGGUCUACAUUCAGCACACUGCAUUGGUCCUCAGGAGGGUGGAUCUGUGAGCGAUGGCCGGUUCGCCGGUAGAGAAGAAGCUCUGGAGGUUGAAGAAGAAGGGUUUAGGAGAUGAGGACAGAAGAAAGGGCGAACUGAAGAGGCAGGGAAGGAGGGCUGUUAGGAGGAUGGGGAGCAGCCCACGUCAAGACUGGGCUUUGAAGACUGACUAAUGAAACUGCAUUUACAGAAGGUCACAAAGCUUUGGGAAGGGUGGUUGGUUUUUUUUUUGUUUGUUUGUUUUGUUUUUUUUUUUUUUUUUGAGACAGGGUUUCUCUGUGUAGUCCUGGCUGUACUGGACUCACUUUGUAGACCAGGCUGGCCUUCAACUCAGACCCACCAGCCUCUGCUUCCUGAAAGCUGAGAUUAAAAGAUUAAAAGCAUGUGCCGCGGCAGCAGCCACCACCACCUCAAAGCUUUUAACUAUUAAAUAAUUUGUAAUUAUUUAUUUAUUAUAGUAAUAUCCCCCCACCCCCAAGAAAACACUAUGUAAGUGUUAAGUUUCAAACCCAGGACAAAUGGCUGAGGUGCCUAUUUAACAUCUCAAAGCAGCCCUCACUCCCUGCACAUUACAGGGUCUGAAUGGCACACGUGGCCGCGCCUGCUUUACACAGCACUGGGAACCACAGCCAGGCUCUGGGCACACUACUGACCUACAUGCCAGGCGAGACAGGUUUUGAGACUCCAUCUCUAACUCAACUGAGGAGAGACCCAGGGAGAAGUCUGGUGGCAUUUUUAGGUUAGUAUUAAUUAUAGACUCAGAGACAAGAGAGUGGCGGCAAGAAGAAGCCUGUUUGUUGGAGGAGCAGCGUCGUCCAUCCUUCAAGCUACAGUUCUUGUUCGGUGCUGUAGUUAAAAAUCUGAUUCCAUGGACCGCUUAUCAAAUAAGCCAAAACAUUCCCCAGCCCCCUAACACAUUUCAGGCUUAAAAAAAAAAAUCAUCAUUCCAACUCUGUUACAAGGUGUACUAAAGCAAGCGUGUGAGGGAGUGAAAGAGCAUGCUGGCAGCAGCGUGAAGGAAGGCUCCCCUUCACCGAACUUCUGAAUAUUUCAGUCAUCUUCUUUGUUUAAAGGAGUGAUGGGGUGUAUAUCAGAAAUGCUGUCUGGCAGUAUUUAUUUUAAAAGCUGUGUUUAUUUUAAAGAAAAACUUUAUGGAAGUGUAAUUUAUGUUGCACAAAACCUACCCAUGUUAAGAAUAAAUUCAAUGAGCCUAGUAAGUUUACACAUCUUUUUUGCUGUUGUCUCAGGGAUUGCUUUGAGACAGUUCUCAUGAAACCUCAGCUGCUCUAACUCUCUUCGUAGCCAAGGAUAGCCUCCAGUUCCUGACCUUCCACCUUCCUGCCUUUACUCAACAAGAGCUGAGCUCACAGGCAAGACCCGCUGGCUGUCCCUGCAAAGCACACAGCUGUGCAAGCUUCGGUGCAAUCAAGUUUCAGAACGCUUUUCUACCCUAACGCACUCCCUCACGUGUCCACGUCUGUCUCUUCUAUCAUCAACCCAGGACUGUCCAUCUUCUGUCCGCGUGCUCUGUCCUCCUAACCCCACACAGACAGCAUCAUCCAAGCUGCAGCUUCCACGCUCUGCUUUGCUCGCUGAGCGUGAGGUCAGGGAGAUCCGGCUGCUGCGGUGAGUGCUUGUAAAGGUGUGUGCUAGCACUUUGCUUCCUCCGCUUAGUCAUCAGAUGGAUGAAGCAGCGUUUACUUCUCCAUGGCCAAGGCCUCAGGCAAUUAAUUAUUCAUUUGCUCCCAACUUUUGUCUGUUAUGAGUGAUGCUAUUAUAAGGAGUUUUUACAGAUGUAUUCUAACUUCUCAUGGGUAAGUAUAAGAAAUGGGUUACCUGGUUUAUAUGCGAAUUCUAGUUAAUCAGUUAUUGUAUACAUGUGUGUUUGUGGUGUCCACGUGUUCACGUGGAUAUAGGGGACGGGGUCAUGGGUGUCAUCUCAUAGUCACCAACCUCUUUUUUUUAUAGGAUCCACACUGGCUUGGAACCCACUAAUCAGGCCAGGCUAACCACCGGUCUAUCUCUCCAGGCCAUGUGCCCUGCUUUCGCCUUCCUUCCUGUCUGUCCAUCCAUCCGUCCGUCCAUCCAUCCAUCCAUCCACUCCUCUUUUAUCAUGAUUUACUCUUCAGUGAUGGUGACUUUCUCAGUGGCUACGGUUCCCGAUGAGCUUAACUGUCAUGCAGUGAGAUACGAGGACAGCUCAGCUGUUGAGGACAUUUCUGACACUGUCUGCUGUGGAGGGGAGAACAACAUCAGAGUUAGUCUUACGUAGCCAGAGUGUAGGCUCAGAGCCGGGGAGUCCCAUCGCUGACUGCUGAACACCGUCUCUCUUUGCUCAAGUAAAUUACAAGAAAGGGCCAGAAAAUCAGUCUUUCUCUGUCAGCAUUAAAUUUAUCAUUUUACAGAAAUUAAGAAUGUAUGUAUUGAGUUGGGCAUGUUGGUGCACUCCAGUAAUUCCAGAACUCAGGAAGGCAGAGGCAGGCAGAUCUCUGUGAGUUCGAGGCCAGCCUGGUUUACAAGGUGAGUUCAGGACAGCCAGGGCUACACAGUGAAACCCUAUCUCAGAAACAAACAAACAAACAAGAUAAAAGAAAAAGAUUAAGCAUUGAAGUUUUCAGUUAUUAAAAAAAAAAUCAAUGGAAAAUUCUGGACGACUUGUUUAUGACUUUAACACAUAAAGAACAGGUGAAAAUAUUGAUGAUUUUUAGAAGUUUUUACCUUAAGAUUUUUCCUGCUGCAUUUUAAUGAUAAAUUGUCUUGAGAUGGUUGUUUUCACCCAAACCAAAAAAAGUUCUCAAAUGUCAACCACAAUGUCUGUCAGCUGUAACUGCAAUAAGCCCACAAGAAGAUCUUGUUUUGUUUUAUUUUUAUUUUUUGAGACAGGGUUUCUCUUUGUAGCCCUGGCUAUCCUGGAACUUGCUCCCUAGACCAGGCUGGCCUGGAACUCACAGAGAUCCUUUGUGCUGGAUGACAGUUAAUAUUUCAUGGAAGGUGAUGGGACUUAGAAUCUUAUGAAAACACUUCUUUGCGUGUGCAUGUGAGGGUGUUUCCAGAAAGCUUUAACAGAGCGUGGAAGGCUCACCCUGAGGGAGGACACCACCAUCCCACAGGCCGAGGGCCCAGAGCAAACACAGAGAGAACGCCAGCUGGAGGCCGGCACCCAUCUUUCUGUUUCCUGGAAGCAUCCACAAUGAAACCAGACAUUUGUAUGUGACUAGACUGUCAGUGAAUUUGUCAGUGAAUUACAGUGGGAAGCAGAGGGAGACAGACCAGAAGUGACUGGGGACAAUAAAUCAGUCAAUUGCGGUGUCUUCCUUAUCUGUGUUUUGUUUGGUUCAAAAGCGCUAGGAGGUGCCUGGAAACGUUCCUGAC